GAAAAACAGCCUCUCUCUGCCGCAACUCCAAUGGCGUUAUCGUCUCUUGUGCCGGCGUUAUCUUCUACGCCGCCAUGUACGGCGGCGAUGUUAAACUGCUCCGGUUCUGUAUCCUCAACAUCGUCGUCGCCGUCGUGUAUUGGCCUCUUAACUUGCUCAUUCUCUCAGCCGCCACACACCGUUGCUUUAAUGCCGUUUUUGAGACCGACAUCUCUGUGUUAUUCUAGAUCUAGAAGGAGUUCACAGAUAGUGCGUAUGGCACCGGAAGAAGAGAAGAAGACUCAACGUUCACCUCUGGACUUCCCUAUCGAAUGGGAAAGACCCAAGCCCGGACGAAGAGCAGAUAUAUUUCCUCAAUUCAGUCCCAUGAAAACUCCCUUGCCACCUCCUAUGCCGGGUGAUCCUCCAGAAGAGGAGGAGGAAGAAGAAGAAAAGGAGAGUAUAUUUGAAAAUUUUGAAAGGCAAGAGGUCCAAAUAAUAUGAGGGGAAAAAACAAACAAUGAAAAGAUGAAUGGGUAAAAGGGUCCAUUCGAUUGUAUUUGAUAAUUGACGGGAAUAAGAGAGAAUGAGGAGAAGGAGAAGGAGAAGCAGAAGCAGAAGAGAAGUUCUUUCCAUUUUUCUUCUUGAGUUGGGCAAUGGGGAAACUGGAGGAGAGCUAGGUAGUUG
rnacentral:misc_RNA from 1 species